AGGUCCCCUUUCUGCAACAGAGAGCUUUCUUCAUUCACUUAUUAAACUUUCACUCCGACCUCACCCUUUGGGUCCAUACUCCUUAAUUCUCUUGGUCUUGGGUGAUACCUCACAAGGAGAGACUGCUACAUUGUGGUGCAUUGGUGAGACUGUAACAGACUCCUUUCCAAGUGUUUGGUGUCUGAGUUUUCAGAAGGUUUGACAUGCAUUUCUUCAUUUAAUGCUUAGAACAGACCACCACCAAUAAUAACAACUCCACAUCUUAUUUUUCAGAUGGGGAAACUAUGAUUCAGAAUGAUAACAAUUAAUACAAAGCUGAAGCAAGAUUCAAAUCCAAGUCUUCUGACUUGAAAUCCUACUUUCUUGCCACUUUUUAAACUAUUUAUCUGAUGUUGGCAAUUCAUGGCAAUCAGAGGAUGGAUGAAGGGCUCUGGAGGUUUUGGUUACAGUCAGGGAGCAUUAGAAAGAACAAGUGUGCUUAGAUGAGGCGGGAAAGCCCAGGUACAUGAAGGAAAAGAAUAAUUUGCCUAAGUUGCCUAGUUUAAAAUCAUUUUUAAUUGGAAAGGUAUUUUUAUCUUCAUUUACAGAUGUGGAAACUAAGAUUCAGAAUGAUUAUUCAAAAAUCACAUAGCUAGUGGCAACCUCAAGGAUUGAAACCAGGUGUGUCUAUCUCUAAAUAUAGUGAUAAAAAGCAUGCAUUUUGGGUUGAACUCUGCUCUCCACAUAGAUCUUGGUCCAGCCCGCCCCCUAACCCUGGUGUCCUCAUGUGAAAUGAGGCUAAUAAUUGCCAGGCCUCUGAGCCCAAGCCAAGCCAUCACAUCCCCUGUGACUUGCACAUAUACGCCCAGAUGGCCUGAAGUAACUGAAGAAUCACAAAAGAAGUGAAUAUGCCCUGCCCCACCUUAACUGAUGACAUUCCACCACAAAAGAAGUGUAAAUGGCCAGUCCUUGCCUUAAGUGAUGACAUUACCUUGUGAAAGUCCUUUUCCUGGCUCAUCCUGGCUCAAAAAGCACCCCCACUGAGCACCUUGCGACCCCCACUCCUGCCUGCCAGAGAACAACCCCCCUUUGACUGUAAUUUUCCCUUACCUACCCAAAUCCUAUAAAUUGCCCCACCCCUAUCUCCCUUUGCUGACUCUCUUUUCAGACUCAGCCCACCUGCACCCAGGUGAUUAAAAGCUUUAUUGCUCACACAAAGCCUGUUUGGUGGUCUCUUCACACGGACACACAUGAAAUUUGGUGCCGUGACUCGGAUCGGGGGUCCUCCCUUGGGAGAUCAAUCCCCUGUCCUCCUGUUCUUUGCUCCGUGAGAAAGAUCCACCUACGACCUCAGGUCCUCAGACCGACCAGCCCAACGAACAUCUCACCAAUUUUAAAUCAGGACCUACCAGUCUGCCCUGCUCAUACUUGAUCUGGAUGAGACUGAUACCCUGCGAGACGCAACAGAAUCAGCUCCUGGGAUUGUGUUAGCAGAAUGACGGGAGUGUGAGAUCCACCACAUGGCGAGGCACCCCAGGAACCUGUUUUCUUCUUGAAGAGCAACCGAGAACUAUUUCCAAGUUAUCCUUCACUUUGAGCGGCAGCAGAGAAGCCAGAACCGGAAGACACCUUGUAGUCUGAGACCAUGGACACCUCAGCAGUUAAUAUUGUAGACCAGGCAAUGGUCAGGUGGAGUAAAACAUAAGGAAGAACAUCUUUUUGGUUCAAAGCAUGAAAAAAAUUGGGUAACACACCUUCCUUACAUCUAGCUGGGCCAUUGAACCAGAAUAUGCCAAUGUUUAAAACACUGAAAUGCCAGCUUUUCUCUUAAAGGACAGCAUGGAGGUGUCUGAUUUCUGCUUGGGCUGAGGAUUCAGGAGAAGAUGUGUGGAACACAGCCUGGACAUGCCCCAACCUGGUUGAUGAAUUCCACCCCAAGUAGUGGAAGAAACACACCUACAACAUGAGCAGAGAAGAUUUUUCUUCUGUACUUUCCAGGACUUGAAGCUGCUUUGUUUUUUGGUCGCUGGGUGGGGAAGGAGGAACAAUAGUAUAGCUUCCAGAAGAGAGAAGAGAGAUAUCUCUUGAGUGUGAAUUAAGCAGUACCAAGAGGCCUCAAGCUAGCUCUCUCUCCUGCUUUAAAUUCUACUGUUAAGAGUUUUUCUUUAAGUUUAAAACCUUGAAAGCUCCAUGAUGCUCCUGAGUAGAACAAUAAAGCCAUUAGUAGUCAAUGGCCGUCUUUAAUAUUUUUCUUCCAUUUCAAUUUUAGUUCUAAUUUUAUCUGACUCCUAAAAAUAUGUUUCAUAUUCUCAUGAGGGCUGGGCCCAUAUGUGUAAAUGGUUGAAACAUCUUACUUUGUUGACUGAACUAGUCUAAAUAGUCAGUCAAAUUUUUUUUUUAGGCAAAAGUGAAUUUCAUCAAAUUGGUUGGCCCACAAUUUCUUAAAUUCAUCAUUGAUUGAUUAUCUGUGAUGUGCCAAUCCCUGUGCAAGUUCCUAGGGCAACAGAAGUAAAAAUCCAUAAUCUCUGUUUCCAGGACUCUAUCAGUUUGAUAGGGACACAGGCACAUAAGCAGACAAUCAUAAUGCAGUGGUAGUAGGGAUAUGCCACUCUCAUCCAGGCAGUGUAUUGAUGACCAUGUCCUUGAGUUCCCAAGUACAUUGAAAAAGGUGUAAUAAGGAGAUGCUAAAUUAGCAGGUAGUACUUAUAUGAAGUUCUACUGUGUCUACUCCUGUGCCAGGUGUUUCGGUUGGGAAUGAGUAUUGGGUAAGAGGAGAAUAGAAGAUGGAAAGGCAGAAAACACCAACUCAGCUGAUAUGGUUGGGAUGUUUGUCUCCUCUAAACCUCACAUUGAAAUGUAAUCCCCAGUGUUAGAGGUGGGGCCUAGUGAAAGGUAUUGGAUGAGGGGAGUGGAUCCUUCAUGAAUGGCUUAGUGUCAUCCCCUUGGUGAUGAGUGAGUUCUCGUUCUGUUAGUUUACACAAGAUCUGGUUACUUAAAAGGGUGUGGAACCUCCCCCUCCUCUCUCUUACUCCCUCUCACCAUGUGACAUGUUGGCUCCCCUUCCCCCUCAUCAUGACUGUAAGCUUCCUGAAGCCCUUUCCAGAAGCAGAAACCGGCACCAUGCUUCAUGUACAGUCUGCAGAACCGUGAGCCAAUUAAACCUCUUUCCUUCAUAAAGCACACAGCUUCAGAUAUCUCUUUGUAACAAAGCAAAAACUGACUAACACAUCACCCAUUAAAGAGUUUACAAUUUAUUUAGAGGAAAUAAGAUGGAAGUGUAGGGAGUUAUUAGAAAGCAAGACAACCUACAAAUCUGUAAAGUAUAAGCAUCAAACUUUGUGAACAAAGAGUAUGAUGUAGGUAUUGAGAAAAGAAAAAGUGGGAUAUAGGGUGGAACAGUCUCAGAAAAGUCCUCCCAAAGGACACAGGUAAGAGAAAGACAUGGAAGAACUGGUCCAACUUACAUUGGUAGAAUCAGAGGGCUUAGGUCUUCUAAGCAGUGGAAAUGGCAGAGGCAAGUGUCCAGAGCUGGGAAUAAGGGGAUGUUAUGUGGGUAUCAUAGGGAUGGGGGCAGGGGACUUCACAAUAAGACACCAGCCAGUCUAAAGUUGAGUUUGUGUAGGAUUUUUUACUCAUAUAUUAUUGAGGGCCAUGCAUUGAACUACAUAUUAUGGAUAAAUAAUUAAUACAUUCCUGCCAUCUUGAAGUUUAUAAUCUAGUCCUACAAAGAAACUUAUCAGAGAGGUUUCUCUGAGGCUUAGUGUGUUGCGGUCUAUGCCUUUUCAUUUCAUCCUUCAAAUACUGUCUACUCAAUGAAAUUUACCUGGCCUGUUCAGCCAAAAUAAUUUAUAAAGGCAAUAAUAGCUAACAUUAUUAACACUCUCCUAGACCAGUGUACUGUACUAACUACUUUGCAUGCCUUAUUCAUAAUAAGUUAAGGUCUCUUAUAUUUUUCAGUGUACUAUGCACCAUGUUAUGGUCUUUACAAAGAUUACAUAGUGUAAUCUUUACACUAAACUUUGCAAGGGUGUACUACUAUUAUCCCCAUUGUCUCUAUGAGAAAGCUGAGGCUCUGCAAGGUUAAAUGAUUUCCCCAAGGUUCUCUUAAACUUCGUAGGGGAAGAUGGAGGAUGCUUAGAGAGUGGUAUGAACAACAUUGUGUGCCUCCUGAUGUGAUACAAUGUGCAGCACAUAGCACCGCUUUUGAAGUACUGCAUGCUUGCCAAAAGAAAAAUUGAACAUAAACUUUCAAGUUUAUUGAAAAUGGAGGGUCCAGGAGUAGUGACUCAUGUCUAUAAUCCCAGAACUUUGGGAGGCCAAGCCAGGCUGAUCACUUGGGCCAGGAGUUCAAGAGCAGCCUAGCCAACAUGGUGAAACCCUGUCUCUACUAAAAAUAUAAAAAUUAGCUGGGCAUGGUGGCUCAUGCCUGUAAUCCCAGCUACUUGGGAGGCUGAGACAUGAGAAUCACUUGAGCCUGGGAGGUGGAGGCUGCAGUGAGCUGAGAUCACGCCAUUGCACUCCAGCCUGGGCAACAGAGCAAGACUCUAUCUCAGAAAAGAAAAAAAAAUGAGAAAAGAAAAUGGAGGGAUAAAGGAUUAAGAUAAAUGAUGCCACAAAGAAGUAAACAGAAAAAUUUAGAAUUUUGGAGUGCAGGGACUGCAGGACAACUGACCAAAUUUCUUCAACAUGUCAAAUAUAUGUGUGUUUGUGUGUGUUUAUUCUAUAAAUAUAAUAAAAAUAUUUUUAUAUAAAAGUAUAUUAUAUAUAAAAGAAAAUUUGGAUUGGAUUAAUGUAAUGUUUACAGUUAUGGUAAUGGCUAUGUUAAUGUAAUGUAAUGUUAGGCCUUGUUUAGUUCCUGAUUUGAACGAACUAAUUUUUAAAAAGGCAUUUUUUUAAUAAGUAGGAAAAUUUGAAUAUGGACUGGUUAUUGGAGGGUACAGGGAAAUAUUCUCAAUUUUCUUGGGUGUGAUCAUGGCACUGUAGUUAUGGGAGAAAAUGCUAAUAUUUUUUAGAGAUAUGCACAAAUGUGUUGGGAAGUCACAUCAAAUGUGGGAUUUGCUUAAAAAUAUUUAGCAACAAUAACUACAACAGAAAAGAAUAAGUGAUGCAAACAUGAUGAAUGCUUGCUAAUUGUUAAAGCUGGGUGAUGACUACAUAAAGGAUCAUUGUAUUAGUCUCUCAAUCUUCCUGUGUUUGAAAUUGUUUUAAAUAAAGAUUCAUUUAAAAUGCAUGGCUUAAAAUAGCCAAUGAGGCUGAAAACAGAUUCUCUUGUACCACUGAGCCCAGUUCUAUGCACACAGUAGGUGCUUAAUAGGUGUAUUAUGAAUUACUAGAAUUGGAGCAUGGAAAACAGCUACAGGAUGAAUGAAAAUCACCCUGUUCU
rnacentral:lncRNA from 1 species